UGCCAAUUCUCGUGUAAGAAUGUGCGCUGUUUAACUGGGAACCUCUGUUGGCCCUGCAUUUUUUAUCUAGUUUAUAAUUCAAUACCAAUAUAUUUAUAAUUUAAUAACAUAUUCUGGCACAAUAGUUUCAAUCUGGCCCUACAGCCCCCACCCUCCCAAGAAGGAAUUGAAAAUGAGGGACAAAAAGGAAUGAGUAGAAUUAUCAUUUUAAGAAACUGUUUUAUUUUCUUUCCAUUGUAGACUACUUAGCAUUCUCUUUGUUACUAAUUGUACAAACAGAUGUCCCUGGGUUAAUGUGUUCAGAUAGGUCGAGAGGUGUAAUUAUCUUAUUCGUUAUGAUAUUCAACUCACAUGUCAUGAUUUUCUGCAUUUUGAUGAAACCCUCAUGAAUUGGUUUUAUCAUUUGUAUCCAUUGAAAUACGGGCUACUGCUGGAUAACUAAUCUCUUUCUUUUACAACUCUGAUGGAUAACUCGUCAUAUAUCGUGAAGAUCCAUCCACACACCCCUACCUGGUUGAUUUGCAACCUAGGGUUUAAGGUCCGUAUGCAUGGGUAAAAUAUACUCCACGGUGAGCCUAUAAGUCCAAACAAUCCCAAUGAAGGAAGUGUCAAGCAGAGGAAUGAGAAGAAGAGAAUUGGGUAGAGAAAGGCAUUUAUAUUGGAUAAAGAAAUAAUUUCUUCUGUGAUGAACAUCAAUGAUGGACCUGCUUCCUCCAGUUGGUGAGACUGCAUCCUCAUGGCCAUUCAAGUUAGUUACAAGAAUUUCUCAAUAGUUAUAUCCAAUAUGCGUGUAUUAAUGACUGAAGACUAACAAUGCAGUCAACAAUUCUUUUUUGCUUGACGAUGAUUCUAGCUACCGUUCUCAAUUGAUGACCUCUCUAAAUCAAUGGAUCAGAUUGAUAUUGAGACAUUGAACCGCCCCCGCUUAUUCGAUAAAAUUCAGGCUUCAAUUUCUUAUUGCCACGUGCAGACUAAUCGAUCGCAAUCAGGAUUCAGUCCUAGGAACUUGAAGCCACAGCUUUGAUUCGUGUGAGCAUGGAAGUGUGUAUGAAUGCAUUGAUUAGGUCAGACUCACAAAAGGAGCAGACACGCCAGUAAUUGCGUGCAGCCAUUGGGGCGUACUAUGAGGGGCGGUGAAGAACUAUACAUAUAGUUGAACAGUUUUUGAAAAUAUAUAUAUCUAUACUAAAUGUAUAUCCCCUGCUGCAAAGUAAGAGUGGAUGCAGAUACUUCUAUACUAGUAAGAGGAAUCUACCCGUAAUGCAUGAACCAGUGCCUGUUGCGUUUGUACUCUUCAACUCUAUGAAAUACAGAAUAGAAGAUCUUCAAUCUUCAUGCUUAUGUGUAUUUGGAACAUUUUGAGGGUAGUUUUGAGUUGUUGAUUUUCUUCCGACUUUCAUAUCAAUUAUGGAGAGAGGUUGAAAGGUCUUAUCAUGCAUAGUGGCGCGAAUAUUGCUUAAAAUAAAGGCUAUCUAUCAAUCUUUUUUUUCCAGCAGGUCUUCAUCUUCACACGAAUACUUUUGGGAUGAUGUUUUUUUCGAUGAAAGGCUGGUGUAAAACCAUUCUUCAUAUACCUCAACGCCAAUAAU